ensembl:lncRNA
CAUUCUCAACAGAAGGUCAGGGAAGCCCACCUUAGGAGACGGGAGACGCAUAUGUAGCCUCACCCCUCCUAGAAUUAGAAGACUUCUUGGGGGUCUCCUGGGGAUGGCAGCACCUGGAUCCCCAGCCCUAGUCUAGUAGCUAAGCCUCUACUUGAAAUGUUGAAUGGAAAGGAUGAUGAUCCUUCUAAAUGGAAACCAGAAUUCAAAGGGGCCUUUUGAGAAUUGAAACAGCAAUUCCUUCAGGCCCCCGUCCUGGCCCUCCCAGACUGAGCUACUUCAACAGAGAUCCAGGAGGCCAGCAACGGCCAGUUAAUGACCACAGGAGAUACUUCUUUCCCCAAUUGCAGCUUGUCAAGUAUAAGGGAGGCUCAUCAAAGAACUCACUCCAGGAGGGAAGCCCUAUAUCAUUGGUUAGCGGGGUCACGGUAACUCCUGGCAUGAAAGGUAUAGUCAGUGGGAUUGUUGAAACAUGCCUGACUCCCUUCUCCACCAAAGCCCCAGAUAAGGACCAUUCAGAUCAGGGGGACAUACCCUGGAGAAGACUGACAUACUGAUCUCAUGCUGAGGGCAGCUGGCAAUUUCAGUGCUGAGUCUAGUGUCGCUGGCUCACAGGCAGCCACGGGCAGAGACCUCGAACCUGGCACUUCAGACCAGGGUUCCUGAUGGGUAGUGGCUGCACUUACACCUGGGCUCAGAGCUGUGUGCAAAGAGCCCUACCCCCUCAUUGCUGACCGGGACCCUAUAAAGCAGCCCUGCCCACAGCCUACAGGAGAGCCUGUGCUCUGGACCAGGACCUCACACCUCUCUGUUCUCUGAUCAGGGAAUAAAGCUUUCCUUUGCUUCCGAAUCUGACUCAGUCUCGUUCUGUUGACUCAAACAACACCAGGCAGGUGGCCCUCCUUGGGGCCAACUCGGAAGGUUCAGUGACACGUGCCUGCUCUUCCCACCUGGCAGCAGAGAGGAAGCACCCUCCCUUCCACUUCUGGGGUAGUGUGAGAUGAAGCCACCUAAAACAGAAAAUUUAAAUAAGUACCAAAAUCUCAUAAUAUAAUACCACAAAGUUCCAGGUUGCAGUAACAAAUUACUCAUUAUAUCAAGAACCAGGUAGAUCUCAAACUGAAUGAAACAAUCAAUAGAGGACAAUAUCAAGAUACCAUCAGUAAUAGAAUUCUCACAGACGUGAAGCGAACAUCAUAAAAAUGCCUCAUUGAUUAUAAGCACUCUGAUAAUGAAUAAAAUAGAGCAGCUCAACAGAGAAAUAGAAGGUGUAAGCAAGAGCCAAAUAGAAAUUAUAAUAACCAAAUUAAAAACUCAAUAGAAGGGCUCUACAGCUGAGUGGAGAACCCAGAUG